rnacentral:lncRNA from 1 species
CUGCCAUACUUAUCUUAGACACCAACUGGUUAGUCAUUUUCAAUUUGAUCAACUUAUAGACUUGGAUUCGACCACAGAGCUACAAUCAAAAUCUAUAUUGGUCUAAUCAAAGACAUGAACUUGACCAACUACAUCUAUUAAAAUUGAUCAAGAGAAGAAAUUGACCCAAUUAGAAUUAACUUUUAAUUAGAUUUGAUCAAUUACUAACAUGGUCCGUUAUCAAUGAUUUCUAACCCU